rnacentral:rRNA from 1 species
UUAAUAGUAAAAUCUGCUCAAUGUUUAUAAAUAGCCGCAAUUUGUGCUAAGGUAGCAUAAUCAUUUGUCUUUUAAAUGAAGACUAGAACAAAAGAUUUAACAUUUCAAUUUUUUUAUUUAAAUAAAAAAUUUAAAUUUUUAAAAUGUAAAAAAACAUUUAUUUAAAAGAAAGACGACAAGACCCUAUUGAACUUUACUUCAAGUUUAACUGGGGUAGUAAAUUAAUUAUUAUUUUAAUUUAAUAUUUUAAAUAUAUAACUAAUAUUAUUAAAUAAUUCAGUUACCAUAGGGAUAACAGCGCAAUUAAUUUUUAGAGUUCUCAUUUAAAAAAUAGAUUACGACCUCGAUGUUGAAUUAAUUACCUUUUCAUAAAGUAAACUUUAAAUAAGGAAGUCUGUUCGACUUUUAAAAAAUUACAUGAUUUGAGUUCAGACCGGUAUAAGCCAGGUCGGUUUCUAUCUUCUAAAAAAUUUCUUACAGUACGAAAGGGCCCAAGAAUAUUUUAUAAAUUAAUUGGCAGACAAAUGCAUUAGAAUUAGAAUCUAAUAAAUCUU